rnacentral:lncRNA from 1 species
CCCGAUUAUAUAAUCCCUAAUAACCUUGCAAACGAAAAAAAUAAUCCAUAAAAUUGUCGUAAUUACAAACAUAGCCUUUGCUCCUAACUUAAUUUCUUAAUCAAUAGCAUGAAUUAAGCAUAGGGUUUGGAGUACUACCAACAAAAAUGUAUUAGCUCCCAACUCGGUUCCUUGAUCAAUGGCGCAUGAAUCAAACAUAGGGUUUGGAAUAGUACCAACAAAAGGGUACUCGUGAACAAUAAUGGGUCACAGAGCAGCGCAAAAAAUUAGUCGAGACUUCGGAUACAAACGAGUUCCUGCAUUUAAUUAACCAACAGAUAAUUAGUUCAGACCAUGUGACCAAUGACCGAGAUAAUCAACAAAUCUUACUGCAUAUAAGGAGAUACAACCAAUAAAAUAUAAUCCUAUGAAACAAAGAUUAAGCAAGCAAAUUAAGGAAAUAAUCAAGUCAAUUGAUAACACAGAAGAUGUGGUGGACUAAUGAGCCUAGUUUAGAGUCAAGUAGGAUUGGAACCUGUUCUUCAUCAAACAUUUGUGUAGGUUGAAUACUUAAUUUAACUGAUUUCUCUCCAAUGUCUAGUUAUGCUGAUAGAGCAAAAGGACAGUAAUAUCUUCUCGGAACCAUAAUAAACGACAAAUAAAAAAUUUAUGGAGGAAAAUAAAGUAUGGAAAAGAGAUGAAUUAAUUUAAAUUAAGGAGUCCCCUAAAGGACCAAAGAGGUGCUCUGGCUUUAUCAAAUACAAAAUCUAUACAGAAACAGUCGCCCCUUACUCUCUUCCUUGCUUAAAUCCGGAAGAGCUGGGCACUAGUUCUGCAUUUUAGCUCGUAGUAGCACAUAUUAAGCACUUCUUCAAAGGGAGUCUCUUUUGGUUGCCGGCUCGCACACUUCUUCAAAGGGAGCCUCUUUUGGUUGCCGGCUCCCGACCGGUGACCUCAACUCUGUUCAAUAUGUUAGCUCAACAUGAGUUGACAUACUUCAAUACUUGAUUAUAUAUACUAUCUAGCCCCAGAAGAGCUCUGCUCUGCUCUGCUAAUAAACUAGCAAACACAAAGAAGCAACAUAACAACCAUUAACUAAACAUUGUCCUUGAUCGUAGACCAACUAUAAAGACAUAUAAUGAUGUCUGUCCUGUAUAAGAAAAACCAUGGAUCGAGUAUAAAACACAACAUAAAAGUCAGCAAUCACCCAAGACAUGAUUACACAAUAAUGUGUGUAUCAUUUUGUAAUGUAUGCAUCUAAUACAAGGAGCAUCAAAGAAGAGUACCUCAGUGACCCAUAUAAACAUACUCUAUUAUUCGUGUUCAGUGGCUGAUCAUACUCAUUGAUGUAAAAGAAAGUUGGUCAUAACAUACUAACUACCCCUUUCAAAACACCACGUUCAAUAGUCUCCUCUGCCUCCAACACUCCCGCAGAAAGCACAGCUUUACCUUUAUAAUUUAAAUAUAAAGCAUCUACCAAGCCUUGCUUUACCUGUUCUGCCCUCAACCAAUUCCAGCCUCCUAUAUAUAUAUAUAUAAACUUCUGUGGGGGGUCCUGAAAAGUUAAAUGAAGCACAACAGUAUUGACAAAUUGCAACUUUAGAACACGAAUCCUUUUGAAGGUUUAUCAAUGCAUCUCAAAUCUCAAAUUAUGACAAAGUCAAACUUGAUGAAAUCCCAAAGCGUUGACACUUUUCAAUGUAUAAAAACUUGACCUUUCUGAUCUCUUUCAACGAUUUAAUUGCACAAAACAGAGAUGUGACUGACAGAAGACUAAAAUGCACAAAAUAUUCAUCAAAAAAUCAAGAAAAAAGGUGGGGUAAAUAAUUAUCACAAGGAUGAUAAAAUUAGAUCAACAUUUAGAAAAAUAAAUAUGUGCGUAUGAAUGUAUGUAUGUAUGUAUAUCAACACAGCUAAAAGAGAACUUCCUGUUUCAUUCAAGGACAAACUCAUGUCACUACAUGCAUCAAAAAUAUAAAUUAGAUUACUUUUUAUAUGGAAAAACCAUGUAUCUGGUGCAAGUUCCAUUAUAUUCCACAGGCUAUAAAUAAAAAGGAAACAGUUCUUUAAAACAAAUAAUUCCUCAAUUAGAUAUAAAAUGAACAAC